rnacentral:rRNA from 1 species
ACAGAGGGUGCAAGCGAUAAUCGGAUUUACUGGGCGUAAAGCGCUCGGAGGCGGAUACGUAAGUCAGUGGUGAAAUCCCCGGGCUCAACCUGGGAGGUGCAUUGGAUACUGGGUAUCUGGAGUGCGGAAGAGGAGAGUGGAAUUCCUAGUGUAGCGGUGAAAUGCGUAGAGAUUAGGAAGAACACCAGUGGCGAAGGCGGCUCACUGGUCCGGUACUGACGCUGAGGUGCGAAAGAGUGGGGAGCAAACAGG